rnacentral:siRNA from 1 species
UUAUUGGUACGUAUUCUCUCUUA